CUCGAUGAGUAGGGCGGGACACGUGGUAUCCUGUCUGAAUAUGGGGGGACCAUCCUCCAAGGCUAAAUACUCCUGACUGACCGAUAGUGAACCAGUACCGUGAGGGAAAGGCGAAAAGAACCCCGGCGAGGGGAGUGAAAAAGAACCUGAAACCGUGUACGUACAAGCAGUGGGAGCCCCACCACUAAGCCAGUGGUGAACUCCACAUCCGCAUCCUUUGCUGAGGAUACGGUUAACGGAGCGAAAGCGACGUUCAACCGCAAAACAAGCAGAGGGGGCUUAGUGGUGGGGUGACUGCGUACCUUUUGUAUAAUGGGUCAGCGACUUAUAUUCUGUAGCAAGGUUAACCGAAUAGGGGAGCCGGAGGGAAACCGAGUCUUAAUUGGGCGUUAAGUUGCAGGGUAUAGACCCGAAACCCGGUGAUCUAGCCAUGGGCAGGUUGAAGGUUGGGUAACACUAACUGGAGGACCGAACCGACUAAUGUUGAAAAAUUAGCGGAUGACCUGUGGCUGGGGGUGAAAGGCCAAUCAAACCGGGAGAUAGCUGGUUCUCCCCGAAAGCUAUUUAGGUAGCGCCUCGUGAAUUCAUCUCCGGGGGUAGAGCACUGUUUCGGCUAGGGGGCCAUCCCGGCUUACCAACCCGAUGCAAACUGCGAAUACCGGAGAAUGUUAUCACGGGAGACACACGGCGGGUGCUAACGUCCGUCGUGAAGAGGGAAACAACCCAGACCGCCAGCUAAGGUCCCAAAGUCAUGGUUAAGUGGGAAACGAUGUGGGAAGGCCCAGACAGCCAGGAUGUUGGCUUAGAAGCAGCCAUCAUUUAAAGAAAGCGUAAUAGCUCACUGGUCGAGUCGGCCUGCGCGGAAGAUGUAACGGGGCUAAACCAUGCACCGAAGCUGCGGCAGCGAACGUAUCACCCAAGACAACUUUACGGAGUUGACGAUUGACGGAGCGAAGCGACGUCAAAGCGUUCAUUAAAGUCGAGUUGGCUUAGGGAUACGUUCGUUGGGUAGGGGAGCGUUCUGUAAGCCUGUGAAGGUGUGUCGUGAGGCAUGCUGGAGGUAUCAGAAGUGCGAAUGCUGACAUAAGUAACGAUAAAGCGGGUGAAAAGCCCGCUCGCCGGAAGACCAAGGGUUCCUGUCCAACGUUAAUCGGGGCAGGGUGAGUCGACCCCUAAGGCGAGGCCGAAAGGCGUAGUCGAUGGGAAACGGGUUAAUAUUCCCGUACUUGGUGUUACUGCGAAGGGGGGACGGAGAAGGCUAUGUUGGCCGGGCGACGGUUGUCCCGGUUUAAGCGUGUAGGUGUGUGUUCCAGGUAAAUCCGGUUCACUUUAACACUGAGGCGUGACGACGAGGCACUACGGUGCUGAAGCAACAAAUGCCCUGCUUCCAGGAAAA
rnacentral:rRNA from 1 species